GACGAACGCUGGCGGCGUGCCUAAUACAUGCAAGUAGAACGCUGAAGAGAGGAGCUUGCUCUUCUUGGAUGAGUUGCGAACGGGUGAGUAACGCGUAGGUAACCUGCCUUGUAGCGGGGGAUCACUAUUGGAAACGAUAGCUAAUACCGCAUAACAAUGUAUUACACAUGUUUUUUAUUUGAAAGGGGCAAUUGCUCCACUACAAUAUGGACCUGCGUUGUAUUAGCUAGUAGGUGAGGUAAUGGCUCACCUAGGCGACGAUACAUAGCCGACCUGAGAGGGUGAUCGGCCACACUGGGACUGAGACACGGCCCAGACUCCUACGGGAGGCAGCAGUAGGGAAUCUUCGGCAAUGGGGGCAACUCUGACCGAGCAACGCCGCGUGAGUGAAGAAGGUUUUCGGAUCGUAAAGCUCUGUUGUAAGUGAAGAACGGGUGUGAGAGUGGAAAGUUCACACUGUGACGGUAGCUUACCAGAAAGGGACGGCUAACUACGUG
rnacentral:rRNA from 1 species